CCUACGGGAGGCAGCAGUGGGGAAUCUUGCGCAAUGGGCGAAAGCCUGACGCAGCCAUGCCGCGUGAAUGAUGAAGGUCUUAGGAUUGUAAAAUUCUUUCACCGGGGACGAUAAUGACGGUACCCGGAGAAGAAGCCCCGGCUAACUUCGUGCCAGCAGCCGCGGUAAUACGAAGGGGGCUAGCGUUGCUCGGAAUUACUGGGCGUAAAGGGAGCGUAGGCGGAUAGUUUAGUCAGAGGUGAAAGCCCAGGGCUCAACCUUGGAAUUGCCUUUGAUACUGGCUAUCUUGAGUACGGAAGAGGUAUGUGGAACUCCGAGUGUAGAGGUGAAAUUCGUAGAUAUUCGGAAGAACACCAGUGGCGAAGGCGACAUACUGGUCCGUUACUGACGCUGAGGCUCGAAAGCGUGGGGAGCAAACAGGAUUAGAUACCCUGGUAGUCCACGCUGUAAACGAUGAGUGCUAGUUGUCGGCGAUGCAUGCAUGUCGGGUUGGACGGCGAGACUAACCGACAUUAAGUACGACCUCCGCCGUCGGGGUAGGGUACGGGUCGGCGAAGAAGUUAAAACGUUAAACGUUAAAGUUAAGUAGUUACGGUUGUGAGCGCGCGACGGACGACGACGGAGGGAGGAGG
rnacentral:rRNA from 1 species